rnacentral:tRNA from 1 species
AGUGUGUGUAAUUUAAAAAAAAUAUCAAGUUGUGACCCUGAAAAUAGAUACCACUCGCACACC